UUUGGUUAAGUUAGAAAGGGCGCACGGUGGAUGCCUUGACACUAGGAGUCGAUGAAGGACGGGACUAACGCCGAUAUGCUUCGGGGAGCUGUAAGUAAGCUUUGAUCCGAAGAUUUCCGAAUGGGGAAACCCACCAUACGUAAUGGUAUGGUAUCCUUAUCUGAAUACAUAGGGUAAGGAAGACAGACCCAGGGAACUGAAACAUCUAAGUACCUGGAGGAAGAGAAAGCAAAUGCGAUUUCCUGAGUAGCGGCGAGCGAAACGGAACAUAGCCCAAACCAAGAGGCUUGCCUCUUGGGGUUGUAGGACAUUCUAUACGGAGUUACAAAGGAACGAGGUAGACGAAGCGACCUGGAAAGGUCCGUCGUAGAGGGUAACAACCCCGUAGUCGAAACUUCGUUCUCUCUUGAAUGUAUCCUGAGUACGGCGGAACACGUGAAAUUCCGUCGGAAUCUGGGAGGACCAUCUCCCAAGGCUAAAUACUCCCUAGUGAUCGAUAGUGAACCAGUACCGUGAGGGAAAGGUGAAAAGCACCCCGGAAGGGGAGUGAAAGAGAUCCUGAAACCGUGUGCCUACAAAUAGUCAGAGCCCGUUAAUGGGUGAUGGCGUGCCUUUUGUAGAAUGAACCGGCGAGUUACGAUCCCGUGCGAGGUUAAGCUGAAGAGGCGGAGCCGCAGCGAAAGCGAGUCUGAAUAGGGCGUUUAGUACGUGGUCGUAGACCCGAAACCAGGUGAUCUACCCAUGUCCAGGGUGAAGUUCAGGUAACACUGAAUGGAGGCCCGAACCCACGCACGUUGAAAAGUGCGGGGAUGAGGUGUGGGUAGCGGAGAAAUUCCAAUCGAACCUGGAGAUAGCUGGUUCUCCCCGAAAUAGCUUUAGGGCUAGCCUUAAGUGUAAGAGUCUUGGAGGUAGAGCACUGAUUGGACUAGGGGUCCUCAUCGGAUUACCGAAUUCAGUCAAACUCCGAAUGCCAAUGACUUAUCCUUAGGAGUCAGACUGCGAGUGAUAAGAUCCGUAGUCAAAAGGGAAACAGCCCAGACCGCCAGCUAAGGUCCCAAAGUGUGUAUUAAGUGGAAAAGGAUGUGGAGUUGCUUAGACAACUAGGAUGUUGGCUUAGAAGCAGCCACCAUUUAAAGAGUGCGUAAUAGCUCACUAGUCGAGUGACUCUGCGCCGAAAAUGUACCGGGGCUAAAUACACCACCGAAGCUGCGGAUUGAUACCGAAUGGGAUCAGUGGUAGGGGAGCGUUCUAAGGACAGUGAAGUCAGACCGUAAGGACUGGUGGAGUGCUUAGAAGUGAGAAUGCCGGUAUGAGUAGCGAAAGACGGGUGAGAAUCCCGUCCACCGAAUGCCUAAGGUUUCCUGAGGAAGGCUCGUCCGCUCAGGGUUAGUCAGGACCUAAGCCGAGGCCGACAGGCGUAGGCGAUGGACAACAGGUUGAUAUUCCUGUACCACCUCUUUAUCGUUUGAGCAAUGGAGGGACGCAGAAGGAUAGAAGAAGCGUGCGAUUGGUUGUGCACGUCCAAGCAGUUAGGCUGAUAAGUAGGCAAAUCCGCUUAUCGUGAAGGCUGAGCUGUGAUGGGGAAGCUCCUUAUGGAGCGAAGUCUUUGAUUCCCCGCUGCCAAGAAAAGCUUCUAGCGAGAUAAAAGGUGCCUGUACCGCAAACCGACACAGGUAGGCGAGGAGAGAAUCCUAAGGUGUGCGAGAGAACUCUGGUUAAGGAACUCGGCAAAAUGACCCCGUAACUUCGGGAGAAGGGGUGCUUUCUUAACGGAAAGCCGCAGUGAAUAGGCCCAAGCGACUGUUUAGCAAAAACACAGCUCUCUGCGAAGCCGUAAGGCGAAGUAUAGGGGGUGACACCUGCCCGGUGCUGGAAGGUUAAGGAGAGGGGUUAGCGUAAGCGAAGCUCUGAACUGAAGCCCCAGUAAACGGCGGCCGUAACUAUAACGGUCCUAAGGUAGCGAAAUUCCUUGUCGGGUAAGUUCCGACCCGCACGAAAGGUGUAACGAUUUGGGCACUGUCUCAACCAGAGACUCGGUGAAAUUAUAGUACCUGUGAAGAUGCAGGUUACCCGCGACAGGACGGAAAGACCCCGUGGAGCUUUACUGUAGCCUGAUAUUGAAUUUUGGUACAGUUUGUACAGGAUAGGCGGGAGCCAUUGAAACCGGAGCGCUAGCUUCGGUGGAGGCGCUGGUGGGAUACCGCCCUGACUGUAUUGAAAUUCUAACCUACGGGUCUUAUCGACCCGGGAGACAGUGUCAGGUGGGCAGUUUGACUGGGGCGGUCGCCUCCUAAAGGGUAACGGAGGCGCCCAAAGGUUCCCUCAGAAUGGUUGGAAAUCAUUCGUAGAGUGCAAAGGCAUAAGGGAGCUUGACUGCGAGACCUACAAGUCGAGCAGGGACGAAAGUCGGGCUUAGUGAUCCGGUGGUUCCGCAUGGAAGGGCCAUCGCUCAACGGAUAAAAGCUACCCCGGGGAUAACAGGCUUAUCUCCCCCAAGAGUCCACAUCGACGGGGAGGUUUGGCACCUCGAUGUCGGCUCAUCGCAUCCUGGGGCUGUAGUCGGUCCCAAGGGUUGGGCUGUUCGCCCAUUAAAGCGGUACGCGAGCUGGGUUCAGAACGUCGUGAGACAGUUCGGUCCCUAUCCGUCGUGGGCGUAGGAAAUUUGAGAGGAGCUGUCCUUAGUACGAGAGGACCGGGAUGGACGCACCGCUGGUGUACCAGUUGUUCUGCCAAGGGCAUAGCUGGGUAGCUAUGUGCGGAAGGGAUAAGUGCUGAAAGCAUCUAAGCAUGAAGCCCCCCUCAAGAUGAGAUUUCCCAUAGCGUAAGCUAGUAAGAUCCCUGAAAGAUGAUCAGGUUGAUAGGUUCGAGGUGGAAGCAUGGUGACAUGUGGAGCUGACGAAUACUAAUAGAUCGAGGACUUAACCAUAUAA
rnacentral:rRNA from 1 species